AUUCCACAAAUUAAAGCAUCUCAAAAAGAUCUAGAAAUGGCUCAACCUAAAGUUAACAUAAUAACUCUCUCUGCUGUCCUUCUUUGCUUUCUUCUCAUGUUUGCUUCUGAGACACAAAUAACAGAAGCAAAACACUGUGGGAAGCAUAGCAAGAGCUGGAAUGGGAAGUGUUUCCACAAUAAAUGUAACCAUUGGUGCAUGAAGAAUGAAGAUGCUAAAUAUGGCAGUUGCUCCCAUGGAGAUUGCUACUGCUACUACCAUUGUUGAAAACAAUCCAUAAAUAUAUAGCCAUUAAUUUCACAUGGCAAUAUCUAUCUUAUUAUGUAAUACAUAUAUGAAUAAACAAUGCUGCUAUAUAUUAAUUACUAAAUGGUUAUUAUAUAUUAUAGCAGCAGUGGUGCCAUUAUCUAUAAUGGUGAUCACUUAUUAUGUCUCUCUUAUGUGAGUGUGUUUGAUAUAUACUAUUUCCAGUCAUUUACCUUUGAA